rnacentral:antisense_RNA from 1 species
UGUCACCCGAGCUGUACGCAGGAGGGCCUGCCCCUGCCGGGUUUCCAUUCCCCGGUCGACCAACCUGCGUAUGGCUCUCCUUU